GACGGUACCUGAAGAAAAAGCAUCGGCUAACUCCGUGCCAGCAGCCGCGGUAAUACGGAGGAUGCAAGCGUUAUCCGUAGUCAUUGGGCGUAAAGGGUCCGCAGGUGGCCAAUCAAGUCGGCUGUUAAAGACCGGGGCUUAACUCCGGGCAGGCAGUGGAAACUGAUUAGCUAGAGUACGGUAGGGGUAGAGGGAAUUCCCAGUGUAGCGGUGAAAUGCGUAGAUAUUGGGAAGAACACCGGUGGCGAAAGCGCUCUACUAGGCCGAAACUGACACUGAGGGACGAAAGCUAGGGUAGCGAAAGGGAUUAGAUACCCCUGUAGUCUUAGCUGUAAACGAUGGAUACUAGGUGUAGCUCGUAUCGACCCCAGCUGUGCCAAAGUUAACGCGAUAAGUAUCCCGCCUGGGGAGUACGCACGCAAGUGUGAAACUCAAAGGAAUUGACGGGGGCCCGCACAAGCGGUGGAGUAUGUGGUUUAAUUCGAUGCAACGCGAAGAACCUUACCAGGGCUUGACAUGUCGCGAAUCUAGCGGAAACGUUAGAGUGCCUUAGGGAAUGCGAACACAGGUGGUGCAUGGCUGUCGUCAGCUCGUGUCGUGAGAUGUUGGGUUAAGUCCCGCAACGAGCGCAACCCUCGUCCUUAGUUGCCAAUAUUAAGUUAGGCACUCUAGGGAUACUGCCGGGGACAACUCGGAGGAAGGUGGGGAUGACGUCAAGUCAGCAUGCCCCUUACGUCCUGGGCGACACACGUACUACAAUGGUUGGGACAAAGGGCAGCAAGCUCGCGAGAGUAAGCGAAUCUCAUCAAACCCAGCCACAGUUCAGAUUGCAGGCUGCAACUCGCCUGCAUGAAGUAGGAAUCGCUAGUAAUCGCAGGUCAGCAUACUGCGGUGAAUUCGUUCCCGGGCCUUGUACACACCGCCCGUCACACCAUGGAAGCUGGCUACGCCCGAAGUCGUUACCCUAACCCUAAGGGGAGGGGGAUGCCGAAGGUAGAGCUAGUGACUGGGGUGAAGUCGUAACAAGGUAGCCGUACCUGAAGGUGUGGCUGGAUCACCUCCUUU
rnacentral:rRNA from 1 species